ensembl:rRNA 5S_rRNA 5S ribosomal RNA
ACGGCCAUACCACCAAGAGAUCAGAGAUCUCAUUUGAUCUCGGAAGCUAAGCAGGGUCGGGCCUGGUUAGUGCUUGGAUGGGAGAAGUGAGUAACAAGGACGGCCUUU